rnacentral:lncRNA from 1 species
UGAUUAAAGAGGUGCAUUCAAAUAUUUGAAUUCACUAAUCCAUUUCCAAGGUCUGUUUUACUUUCAUACAUGAAAGUUCUACAUAUAUACAUAGAUAACAUAAAAUUAAUAUGGAGAAAUUGUUUGAAAUAAUCUUAAAAUCAUGUUGAAUACAUAGUUGUUAAUGGCUAUUAGACUUCAAAUCCAACGGGUUACAAAUAGUCCAAACACAUAUUUGUCUUUAAAAAAAAACCUAAGCAAUUACAUUUUAAUUAAAUGAAAAAGUGUUCCUGUUGGAAACAGGAUUCUAGGGACCAAAACCAGGUGACCAUUGGACCUUCCUUGGAGUUGGACGCGCCUCAAAAUUGUUGUCUUGGAGCAGCCACCUUCCAUUCCAUCAAGUCAAUUCACCUGUAACCUGCAAAGAGAAAAAACAGCUUAAUUAAAAAGCACUUUUUAGAAGCGCUUAAGGAACUGAAAAAUAAUUAAAUAAAUUACUUGGUUCAAAACUUUACCCAGAAGACUAACAUGAAUAUCCAAAAAGCAUUUUAACAAUGGUCUAAAACAAGAACAAAUCAACAGAAAUCAAAUAAAAACUUUACCCAGAAGACUAACAUGAAUAUCCAAAAAGCAUUUUAACAAUGGUCUAAAACAAGAACAAAUCAACAGAAAUCAAAUCCCACAUAAUCUGGGAUGGGACAAAUUGAAAAAGGAGUUUUUUUCAAGGCUUUAAAAUUGGUCAUUUAAGCAAUUGAUAAAAAAAAGUUAACAGCAAGAACACAGAGCAUUUUUCUGAAAGCCCUAAAAAAGUUAAUAGCAAAACGCAACAGCAAAACACAACAGCAAGAAACACACAGCAAGAUAUUAUUUCUCAAAAACCCUAAGAAAGAACACGAGAUAACAGAGCAAUUUUUUAAACCCAGAAUACACAGCAGCAAUAUAUUUCAAAAAAACCUAAAAACAAAAACAGAGGAAGGAAGUUGUGAAGGAGAGUUCGUCUACCUGGCUUCGUUGGGAGCGUCGUCGUCGAACUAAGCCUCAGGUCGGGUUUUUUUCCUCUUAUUUCCAUCUCCUCGCAUCGCCUUCAUAACUAGAUCUUCAUGCAUGCGAAGCUCUCGUUCUUUGUUUGCUUCGAACUGUUGUUGUUGUUGGUUUGGUUAAAAGUUAGGGUUACGUUUGGGAUUCAAGAUCUGGACGAAUGGGGUUUUUUUUUUUUGAAAUCCGAGCCUGGAUUCAAACUCAGAGGGUUUGUUUAGGUGGGGUAGGGUCGCGUGUGGUUGAACCACCGUGAGAUUGAAGCGGCGCCGUCGCAAACGGUCGCCC